rnacentral:rRNA from 1 species
GUGGGGAAUAUUGGGCAAUGGACGCAAGUCUGACCCAGCAACGCCGCGUGAAGGAAGAAGGCUUUCGGGUUGUAAACUUCUUUUGUCAGGGAAGAGAAGAAGACGGUACCUGACGAAUAAGCCACGGCUAACUACGUGCCAGCAGCCGCGGUAAUACGUAGGUGGCAAGCGUUGUCCGGAUUUACUGGGUGUAAAGGGCGUGCAGCCGGGCGCUUAAGUCAGAUGUGAAAUCCGCGGGCUUAACCCGCGAACUGCAUUUGAAACUGAGCGUCUUGAGUAUCGGAGAGGUCAUCGGAAUUCCUUGUGUAGCGGUGAAAUGCGUAGAUAUAAGGAAGAACACCAGUGGCGAAGGCGGAUGACUGGACGACAACUGACGGUGAGGCGCGAAAGCGUGGGGAGCAAACAGGA